rnacentral:rRNA from 1 species
CGUUUCCGUAGGUGAACCUGCGGAAGGAUCAUUGAAUAUGCAAACCACAACACGCACUUUUAUCUCUGGUGUUCGACCUGGGGUCGCAUGCCGAGAGGCAAGCGGCCCUGCUUUUACACACCAUGAUAAACCACGUGAAAAACCAAACUCUGAAGCUAUGGUUGCUAUUAAUUGGCAAUCUUAACCGAGAACAACUCUCAACAACGGAUAUCUUGGCUCUCGCAACGAUGAAGAACGCAGCGAAAUGCGAUACGUAGUGUGAAUUGCAGAAUUCCGUGAACCAUCGAAUCUUUGAACGCAUAUUGCGCUCGACCCUUCGGGGAAGAGCAUGUCUGCCUCAGCGUCGGUUUUAACCUCACCCCUCCCAAUUCAUUUGGGUCACAUUGGCUUGCUCAAGCCGAUGUUUGUGGGUGGAUCUGGCCUCCCCAAUACUUGCUUCGCAUUUGUUGGGUUGGUUGAAGCACAGAGGCUUAAACUGGGACCCGAUAUGGGCUCAACUGGAUAGGUAGCUCCACCUUGCCUUGUGCAAAGUGCCUACACGAAGUUGUGCCUGUGGACCUGGUUAGGAGCCAAGCAGGAAUCAAGACUCGUUCUUGAAUUUCAAGGUUCGACCUGAGCUCAGGCAAGGCUACCCGCUGAACUUAAGCAUA